UACGUAGGGGGCAAGCGUUGUCCGGAAUCAUUGGGCGUAAAGCGCGCGUAGGCGGCCCGAUCAGUCUGCUGUAAAAGUCAAAGGCUCAACCUUUGAAAGCCGGUGGAUACUGUCGGGCUAGAGUCCGGAAGAGGCGAGUGGAACUCCUGGUGUAGCGGUGGAAUGCGCAGAUAUCAGGAAGAACACCGACGGCGAAGGCAGCUCGCUGGGACGGUACUGACGCUGAGGCGCGAAAGCGUGGGGAGCGAACAGG
rnacentral:rRNA from 1 species